CUGACAUAAGUUUGCUAUUGAGAAAGGGAAACUAUCCACUAUCCACCCCAUUAAUUCUCUCUAUGCCCAGGAACCAAUUGCAUAGUUCAGGAACUGAGCUUGCUUUACAAUACCAAAAUGACACUGCAAAAGUGCAAGUACUGCUGAAACAUUACUAGGCUACUCCUCCACUAUCCUCCCUAAUUUAGUAAAUAAUUUCACACUACAAUUCCCAAACACAAAAACCCAAAAAGAAGAAGAAGAGGCACAAAACUGUCAUCACAAAACCGUAACAAAAUGAAAUCGAUACAGUUUCUAUUCUAGGAAUCCAGAAAGUCAAGAUCCAACCUUUACACCACAAAUCACAAGAAAAAAACCAAAAUCCGACAACCCAACAUGUAGAUCGACAACACGAGAGACGAAAGAACAAAAAAGAAAAAGUCGAG
rnacentral:misc_RNA from 1 species